rnacentral:lncRNA from 1 species
UAAUAGGCCCUUUAUUUGCAUCACCCUGUAUAACUUAAUAUGGAGUUGGCCCUUCAUUGUUCGGAGUCCGAAUUUAAUUUUGACAAAUUGCAUUAUCACAUUCCUUAAUACAUGUGCUGCAGUAUGUAUAAAUACAUUCAAUAAACAUAAUUAAUAUGUUCCUUCCUAUUCCUUUAGCACAAUGAAUACAAAUUCAAGAGCCGUCUUGAUGCUGCGCCUAGUUCACGACAAUUCCUUGCAAUACGAAGUAGAAGAGGACGGUGAUUAUAACGUCAGAAAUUGAAUUUGAUGGUACACUGAAUGCAUUGAAGGCGUGACUGGCACAGAAGAGAAUAUCAAUACUGAAGCUUAUGGUCGCAUAUUAAGAACCAUUAAAGUCAUGAAUGAUCUUAUCAUUUUAAACAAUUACAGUGUUUAGUUUUUAGAAUAAUAUCCUCAUUUGUAUAUUUAUAAAAUGACAAAUUUAGUUUAUGAAAUACAGUACAAUAUAUUCACCAAUAUUUUACAAU